rnacentral:rRNA from 1 species
GAUGAACGCUGGCGGCGUGCUUAACACAUGCAAGUCGAACGGGAAACAUUUCAUUGAGGCUUCGGCGGAUUUGGUCUGUUUCUAGUGGCGGACGGGUGAGUAACGCGUGGGUAACCUGCCUUGUACUGGGGGAUAACAGCCAGAAAUGGCUGCUAAUACCGCAUAAGCGCACGGGACCGCAUGGUCCUGUGUGAAAAACUCCGGUGGUAUAAGAUGGACCCGCGUUGGAUUAGCUAGUUGGCAGGGCAGCGGCCUACCAAGGCGACGAUCCAUAGCCGGCCUGAGAGGGUGAACGGCCACAUUGGGACUGAGACACGGCCCAGACUCCUACGGGAGGCAGCAGUGGGGAAUAUUGCACAAUGGGGGAAACCCUGAUGCAGCGACGCCGCGUGAAGGAAGAAGUAUCUCGGUAUGUAAACUUCUAUCAGCAGGGAAGACAAUGACGGUACCUGACUAAGAAGCCCCGGCUAACUACGUGCCAGCAGCCGCGGUAA